rnacentral:misc_RNA from 1 species
UAAUAAGUGUUUUAUGGCACUUUUUAAAUCCAUAUCCACCUUGUGUGCAAUGUCAGUCGAUCUUCUUCAUGGAGAUCGACCAAACAUCAACCUUUAUUUUUAACUCUUUGUCUGAAAAAUAUUAUGAAUCAAACAAUUCAAAAUA